rnacentral:rRNA from 1 species
UAGGGAAUCUUCGGCAAUGGACGGAAGUCUGACCGAGCAACGCCGCGUGAGUGAAGAAGGUUUUCGGAUCGUAAAGCUCUGUUGUUAGAGAAGAACGUUGGUAGGAGUGGAAAAUCUACCAAGUGACGGUAACUAACCAGAAAGGGACGGCUAACUACGUGCCAGCAGCCGCGGUAAUACGUAGGUCCCGAGCGUUGUCCGGAUUUAUUGGGCGUAAAGCGAGCGCAGGCGGUUCUUUAAGUCUGAAGUUAAAGGCAGUGGCUUAACCAUUGUACGCUUUGGAAACGGGAGGACUUGAGUGCAGAAGGGGGGAGGGGAAUUCCAUGGGUAGCGGUGAAAGGCGUGGAUAUAUGGAGGAACACCGGUGGGGAAAGCGGCACUCUGGUCUGUAACGGACGCUGAGGAUGGAAGGCGGGGGGAGCAAACAGG